rnacentral:rRNA from 1 species
UCCAGACUCCUACGGGAGGCAGCAGUGGGGGAUAUUGCACAAUGGGGGGAACCCUGAUGCAGCGACGCCGCGUGGGUGAAGGAGUAUUUCGGUAUGUAAAGCCCUAUCGGCAGGGAAGAAGCAAGACGGUACCUGACUAAGAAGCCCCGGCUAACUACGUGCCAGCAGCCGCGGUAAUACGUAGGGGGCAAGCGUUAUCCGGAUUUACUGGGUGUAAAGGGAGCGUAGGUGGCAUGGCAAGCCAGAAGUGAAAACCCGGGGCUUAACCCCGCGGAUUGCUUUUGGAACUGUCAGGCUGGAGUGCAGGAGGGGCAGGCGGAAUUCCUGGUGUAGCGGUGAAAUGCGUAGAUAUCAGGAGGAACACCGGUGGCGAAGGCGGCCUGCUGGACUGUAACUGACACUGAGGCUCGAAAGCGUGGGGAGCAAACAGGAUUAGAUACCCCAGUAC